rnacentral:rRNA from 1 species
UACGAGGGGGGCGAGCGUUGUUCGGAAUUAUUGGACGUAAAGGGUGCGUAGGCGGUUUGUCGCGUCUGCUGUGAAAACCCGAGGCUCAACCUCGGGCCUGCAGUGGGUACUGGCAGACUAGAGUGCGGUAGGGGAGAUUGGAAUUCCUGGUGUAGCGGUGGAAUGCGCAGAUAUCAGGAGGAACACCAAUGGCGAAGGCAGAUCUCUGGGCCGUAACUGACGCUGAGGAGCGAAAGCAUGGGGAGCGAACAGG